GGAGUAUCCUGCUUGGGUGCGCGUGCAUCGGUGUUGGGCAGCCUGUGGAACCUCCCCAUGCUUAGAAGUCCAAUGCAUCAACCAAUUUUAACCUCUUUAAAAGAAAUUCUGACGUUAGACAGAAAGGAAGGAAUAGUUUGAAGCCUUCAAGCCAAGCGGUGCUGAACACAGCUUACAACAGUGCACUCCAUUUAAAUGGCUGCAGCAAGCUCAGCAGACAUAGAGGAGGGCAAAACAAGGUGGUCCCAUGCAGAUGCUGUUUCUUCUUCCCAGACUUUGGGUUAGUGCUCUGAGCUCCACAACCACCCCACAGGAUGUCUCCUGUCUAAUAACUGCUCAGAGUUAAAGGCAGAGCUGUUCCAGCCUCUUCUGGAAGCAGGGCUGACUGCUCCCUGCUCAGUCGUAAAGGCAGACUCAUACCCAUCCUUCUACCUAAACAUAUCCUGGUCUGUCUGGGCAACUUCAGUUGACACAGUCUUCAGAAGAAGGACAGCGAAUGACCAGCA